CCUACGGUAGGCUGCAGUGGGGAAUAUUGGGCAAUGGGCGCAAGCCUGACCCAGCAACGCCGCGUGAAGGAAGAAGGCCCUCGGGUUGGAAACUUCUUUUGUCAGGGACGAAACAAAUGACGGUACCUGACGAAUAAGCCACGGCUAACUACGGGCCAGCAGGGGCGGUAAUACGAAGGUGGCAAGCGUUAUCCGGAUGUAAUGGGUGUAAAGGGAGUGUAGGCGGGAGAGCAAGUCAGAUGUUAAAUUCCAGGGCACAACCCUGGAACUGCAUUUGCAACUGUUUUUCUUGAGUGAUGGAGAGGCAGGCGGAAUUCCGUGUGUAGCGGUGAAAUGCGUAGAUAUACGGAGGAACACCAGUGGCGAAGGCGGCCUGCUGGACAUUAACUGACGCUGAGGCGCGAAAGCGUGGGGAGCAAACAGGAUUAGAUACCCUUGUAGUC
rnacentral:rRNA from 1 species